rnacentral:miRNA from 1 species
GGUCCGGGUCCGGGUCCGGGUCCUGGUCCGGGUCCUGGACCUGGUCCUGGUCCUGGACCUGGUC